CCAGGUCAGGACUGCCGAUGCGGAGGGUCCGGUUCCGAGGCAGCGGCUGGCCCGCUGCAGUCCCUCCAGGGGCCCAGCACCGUCCCUCGGCUGGCAGCAAGCGUGGAGUGUCGAGGCUGAGGACCCGGCGUGGGCAGCAGCCGGUGUCCCAGCUGAGCGCAGACCCGUGUUCUGGCAGGCUGGCCCAGCCUACAUAAAGGCCCACAGCACCAGGUGACGGCCACGUAGAGCUGGGGCGACGCUUUGCUCGACGAGGCCACAGAUGUGGUCAGAAUGAGUCGGCUGCAGCACGAGUUGCCAGCAGAAUCCAGAAACGAACACGAAACCGGCCACGAAGAAAGCUCAGGGGACCACAAGUGUGGAGGCGGGCGGCCCCCUAGGGGCGGGUGACGGCGCCGCGGUGGCGCUCUGCUGCCAGUCGUCGGCACGUGGCUGACGGAGCACCGGGCUGUCCCGGAGGCCGGGAUGCCUGGUUCCGACAGGUCACCGCAAAGUCCGGUGGUGGCCCCGUCAGGCGUGGAGAGUACAGUGCUGAGGCAGCUGCUGGUGCACCCCUACACUGUGCACUCACUCCAGCUGCCCAGCACGGCCUCUCAGCUGGUUGCUGCAGCCAGCAAGUGCGGUGUGUCGAGCCCGAAGACCCGGUGUGAGCAGCAGCUGGCAACUCAGCCGGCCACAGCUGUUGUGGCAGAGUGACACAGCUGCCCCAGCCUCAGGCAGUCACGCAUGUGCACAUAAAGCCUCAUACACACCAGGUGAUGGCCACGUGAAGCUGGGCUGGUGCAGUGCUCGGUGAGCCCAGAGACGUCGUCAGAGUGAGUCGGAAGCUCCACGAGUCGCCAGCAGAAUCCAGAAUCGACCUCGGAGGCAGCAGUGAAGGAAGUUCAGGAGACCACAAAUAUGGACACCCUCCCAUAUGCGAGUGACGCUGGCAGUGGAUGACGUGUGGCUGGUGGACACGAGGCUCUUCCUGUGGCCAGGAGUUCUGCGUCUGAUGCCACAUUCCGACGUGACACCCUGGUGGCUGGUGGUGGCACGAUCAGCCUCUCUGACGUGGAGCGUCCACUGCUGAGGCAGCUGCUGGCCCACUGCUGUACCCUGCAGACCCCCAGCUGCCCAGCACGGCCUCUCAGCUUCGGGCUGCUGCCAGUAAGUGUGGAGUGUCCAGCCUGACGUCCCAGUGAACGCGAGCCCGCAGCUCGGCUUGCCGUGGAGAACACGGUGGCCGCACUCAUUCUGGCACAGCCGCCCCCGCCUCAGGCAGGCCGCCAGUGCCCUCAUAAAGGCUCACACUCACCUGGUGACGGCCAUGCAGAGUCGGGCUGAUGCAGUGUCCAGUGAGACCCGAGACGAGCUCUAAGUGAGUCGGCUGCUUCACAAGUCGGCACUCAUUCUGGCACAGCCGCCCCCGCCUCAGGCAGGCCGCCAGUGCCCUCAUAAAGGCUCACACUCACCUGGUGACGGCCAUGCAGAGUCGGGCUGAUGCAGUGUCCAGUGAGACCCGAGACGAGCUCUAAGUGAGUCGGCUGCUUCACAAGUCGGCACUCAUUCUGGCACAGCCGCCCCCGCCUCAGGCAGGCCGCCAGUGCCCUCAUAAAGGCUCACACUCACCAGGUGACGCCCAUGCAGCGCUAGGCUGAUGCAGUGUCCAGUGAGACCCGAGACGAGCUCUAAGUGAGUCGGCUGCUUCACAAGUCGGCACUCGUUCUGGCACAGCCGCCCCCGCCUCAGGCAGGCUGCCAGUGCUCUCAUAAAGGCUCACACUCACCAGGUGAUGGCCAUGCAGAGCCGGGCUGAUGCAGUGUCCAGUGAUACCCAAGACGAGCUCUAAGUGAGUCAGCUGCUUCACAAGUCGGCAGCAGAAUCCAGGUGUCUGGUCACGGAUGGGGCAGAGGAGAACGUCGUGAACGGCUGGCAGGGUGAGAGCAGUCUGCAGUUGGCUGCACGCUGGGCUGGGGCAGCCCCAGCCGUCCCCCACCCCACGACUCUGGACAGGUGGACGCGCAGAGGUGGCGGCUGCGCUGCCCGAGGCAGGAGCCGUCGAGUGACCGGAGGACAACGCCCCUGGACUACGCAAAACAGAGCGACAAGCAGGAUCUCGUUAAUAUUCUAAUAUAUUACCGUCUUAUCUUAUUAAGGGAAAUAAGAUUCAGUUCACCAUUUAUCCUAACUUUUAAAAUAAAGACAAUAAAAACUUAA